rnacentral:piRNA from 1 species
UACCAAAGGGACACCCAAGGAAGGAGC